rnacentral:rRNA from 1 species
UGGUGAUUGGGAUGAAGUCGUAACAAGGUAGCCGUAGGUGAACCCUGCAGAAGGAUCA